rnacentral:rRNA from 1 species
CCCUUAGAUGUUCUGGGCCGCACGCGUGCUACACUGAGUGGAUCAGCGGGUCAGGUUGCGCGAAAGCGUUUCCUAAUCUUUAAAUCCACUCGUGAUGGGGAUUGACGGUUGCAAUUUUCCGUCAUGAACGAGGAAUACCUUGUAAGCGCGGGUCAUCAUCCCGCGCUGAAUACGUCCCUGCCCUUUGUACACACCGCCCGUCGCUCCUACCGAUUGAGUGGUCCGGUGAGGCUUUGGGAUCUGAGCGGAAAGAGCGUUUCGCUGUUUCUGCCCGGAAAACUCAGUCGAACCUUAUCAUUUAGAGGAAGGAGAAGUCGUAACA